UUAGUACUCCUUCCGUCCCGAAAUACUUGUCGGGAGAAUGAAUGUAUAUAGACGUAUUUUAGUUCUAAAUACAUCCAUUUUUAUACAUUUCUCCGACAAGUAUUUUCGGACGGAGGGAGUACAUG
rfam:Triticum aestivum genome assembly, contig: Triticum_aestivum_CS42_TGACv1_scaffold_050168_1BS